rnacentral:rRNA from 1 species
GUUAAGCGACUAAGCGUACACGGUGGAUGCCCUGGCAGUCAGAGGCGAUGAAGGACGUGCUAAUCUGCGAUAAGCGUCGGUAAGGUGAUAUGAACCGUUAUAACCGGCGAUUUCCGAAUGGGGAAACCCAGUGUGAUUCGUCACACUAUCAUUAACUGAAUCCAUAGGUUAAUGAGGCGAACCGGGGGAACUGAAACAUCUAAGUACCCCGAGGAAAAGAAAUCAACCGAGAUUCCCCCAGUAGCGGCGAGCGAACGGGGAGCAGCCCAGAGCCUGAAUCAGUGUGUGUGUUAGUGGAAGCGUCUGGAAAGGCGUGCGAUACAGGGUGACAGCCCCGUACACAAAAAUGCACAUACUGUGAGCUCGAUGAGUAGGGCGGGACACGUGGUAUCCUGUCUGAAUAUGGGGGGACCAUCCUCCAAGGCUAAAUACUCCUGACUGACCGAUAGUGAACCAGUACCGUGAGGGAAAGGCGAAAAGAACCCCGGCGAGGGGAGUGAAAAAGAACCUGAAACCGUGUACGUACAAGCAGUGGGAGCGCGCUUAGGCGUGUGACUGCGUACCUUUUGUAUAAUGGGUCAGCGACUUAUAUUCUGUAGCAAGGUUAACCGAAUAGGGGAGCCGAAGGGAAACCGAGUCUUAACUGGGCGUUAAGUUGCAGGGUAUAGACCCGAAACCCGGUGAUCUAGCCAUGGGC